rnacentral:rRNA from 1 species
AAAUUGAAGAGUUUGAUCAUGGCUCAGAUUGAACGCUGGCGGCAGGCCUAACACAUGCAAGUCGAACGGUAACAGGAAGCAGCUUGCUGCUUUGCUGACGAGUGGCGGACGGGUGAGUAAUGUCUGGGAAACUGCCUGAUGGAGGGGGAUAACUACUGGAAACGGUGGCUAAUACCGCAUAACGUCGCAAGACCAAAGAGGGGGACCUUCGGGCCUCUUGCCAUCAGAUGUGCCCAGAUGGGAUUAGCUAGUUGGUGAGGUAACGGCUCACCAAGGCGACGAUCCCUAGCUGGUCUGAGAGGAUGACCAGCCACACUGGAACU